rnacentral:rRNA from 1 species
AAAGCAUCUAAGUGUGAAGCCCACCUCAAGAUGAGAUUUCCCAUUUCUUUAAGAAAGUAAGACCCCUGAGAGAUGAUCAGGUAGAUAGGUUGGAAGUGGAAGGCUAGUGAUAGUUGGAGCGGACCAAUACUAAUCGGUCGAGGACUUAACCAA